AGUGAACGCUGGCGGUAGGCCUAACACAUGCAAGUCGAACGGCAGCACAGUAAGAGCUUGCUCUUACGGGUGGCGAGUGGCGUACGGGUGAGGAAUACAUCGGAAUCUACUUUUUCUUGGGGGAUAACGUAGGGUAACUUACGCUAAUACCGCAUACGACCUACGGUUGAAAGCAGGGGAUCUUCGGACCUUGCGCGAUUGAAUGAGCCGAUGUCGGACUAGCUAGUUGGCGGGGUAAAGGCCCACCAAGGCGACGAUCCGUAGCUGGUCUGAGAGGAUGAUCAGCCACACUGGAACUGAGACACGGUCAAGACGCCUACGGGAGGCAGCAGUGGGGAAUAUUGGACAAUGGGCGCAAGCCUGAUCCAGCAAUACCGCGUGGGUGAAGAAGGCCUUCGGGUUGUAAAGCCCUUUUGUUGGGAAAGAAAAGCAGCAGGUUAAUACCCCGCUGUUCUGACGGUACCCAAAGAAUAAGCACCGGCUAACUUCGUG
rnacentral:rRNA from 1 species